AGCAGCCGCGGUAAUUCCAGCUCCAAUAGCGUAUAUUAAAGUUGCUGCAGUUAAAAAGCUCGUAGUUGAAUUUCGGGAUCAAUAUGUUGGUCGUGCCUUGGUACGUACUAGCUUAUUGGUUUCUCCCUUCUGACGAACCAUGAUGUCAUUAAUUUGGUGUCAUGUGGAAUCAGGACUGUUACUUUGAAAAAAUUAGAGUGUUUAAAGCAGGCUCACGCUUGAAUACAUUAGCAUGGAAUAAUGAAAUAGGACGUUUGAUUCUAUUUUGUUGGUUUCUAGGAUCGACGUAAUGAUUAAUAGGGAUAGUUGGGGGCAUUAGUAUUCAAUUGUCAGAGGUGAAAUUCUCGGAUUUAUUGAAGACUAACUACUGCGAAAGCAUUUGCUAAGGAUGUUUUCAUUAAUCAAGAACGAAAGUUAGGGGACCGAAGACGAUCAGAUACCGUCGUAGUCUUAACCAUAAACUAUGCCGACUAGGGAUCGGAUGAUGUUAAUUUUUAAUGACUCAUUC
rnacentral:rRNA from 1 species